AAUUCAUGUCGCUUGUAACAGCUGGAAAUUUUACAAGUGCAAUGAAACCCUUAAAUAAGAAAAAGUAGAAUCAAUUAAAAAGUUUGUGUAGAAUUUAUUGUUCGCAUGCAUCUAUGAACAACCCACUUUGGAAACUAACCAAAAAUAAUGAAGGAGACAUCCCAAAUAUUCAGAAAGCGACCUUAUCGACCUCUGAUGAAAAAAGGUAACCAAAGAGAUGAUAUAUUUGGCUCAAAUGUCGAAUUUCACGUGCUCGUGCCCGUGCCGGUGGGAAACCAAUAAUAUAGCAAAGUUAUUUUCUUUUAUUUUUAAAGUAAAAUAUAUAUAUAUUUAUCUCAAAAUUUGAUUUUGUAAACAA
rnacentral:misc_RNA from 1 species